UACGGGGGGGGGCAAGCGUUGUUCGGAAUUACUGGGCGUAAAGCGCGCGUAGGCGGACCUGCAAGUCGGGGGUGAAAGCCCGAGGCUCAACCUCGGAACUGCCUUCGAUACUGCGGGUCUCGAGUCCGGGAGAGGUGAGUGGAAUUCCUAGUGUAGAGGUGAAAAUUUCGUAGAUAUUUAGGAAGAACACCAGUGGCGAAGGCGGCUCACUGGCCCCGGUACUGACGCUGAGGG
rnacentral:rRNA from 1 species